CGUUUUUAUGAUCCCCGACUUUGUGUAUUAGCUCUAAGUUCUAUCGGUCUGUUUUUAUGAUCCCCGACUUUGCGUAUCAGCUCUAAGUUCUUUUGGUCGUUUUAUGAUCCUCGACUUUGCGUAUUUGCUCUAAGUUCUUUCGGUCCGUUUUUAUGAUCUCCGACUUUGCAUAUUAGCACUAAGUUCCUUCGGUCCGUUUUUAUGAUCCCCGACUUUGCGAAUUAGCUCUAAGUUCUUUCGGUCGUUUUUAUGAUCCCUGACUUUGUGUAUCAGCUCUAAGUUCUUUUGGUCCGUUUUUAUGAUCCCCGACUUUGCAUAUUAGCUCUAAGUUCUAUCAGUCCAUUUUUAUGAUCCCCGACUUUGCAUAUCAGCUCUAAGUUCUUUCGGUCGUUUUAUGAUACCCGACUUUGCGUAUUAGCUCUAAGUUCUUUCGGUAUGUUUUUAUGAUCCCCGACUUUUCGUAUUAGCAUUAAUUUCUUUCUGUCGGUUUUACGAUCCCCGACUUUGCGUAUUAGCUAUAAGUUCUUUUGGUCUG
rnacentral:lncRNA from 1 species